rnacentral:rRNA from 1 species
UACGUAGGGGGCGAGCGUUGUCCGAAGUUACUGGGCGUAAAGAGCGCGUAGGCGGGUCUUUAAGUGAGGGGUGAAAGGUUCAGGGCUUAACCCGGACACUGCCUUUCAUACUGGAGAUCUUGAGUGCGGGAGAGGCGAGUGGAACGGUCGGUGUAGCGGUGAAAUGCGUAGAUAUCGAUCAGAACACCCAUGGCGAAGGCAGCUCGCUGGUCUGCAACUGACGCUGAGGCGCGAAAGCGUGGGGAGCAAACAGG